CAGGAUAGAGGGUUGAUCCUACCGAUCCUUUUGCAGUGGUGAAUUUUCUCAUCUUACAAUGUUGUACUAAUAGCUUAAAAAUGUGCUCUCCUGCCUGGAUUUCUGGAGCCUAGAAAGAAGAGAAAGUAGAACCUAGAAGGCCCAGAUGAAAUCGGAGCCACACUAUGCAAGGCUGCCUACAAACACAUGAGGUGACUGGAUGCAAAGGGCAGAAUACACUGUGUCUUGUAAAUGGCUGAUGCAAGAUCCCUGCAGUGGAAAAUGGAAGCUCCAGAGGAAUUGAGAUUCCAAGAUGACUCUGAGACACAACUAUUUCCUGGUGUUGUUCCAUAUUCAGGACUGAGCCUAACGACACAAUCUAACCCUAUUUUAGUUUGCCUUUAAACCUUGUAUAUUUACUAGCUUUCAUUUUGCUCUAACGUGUGCAUUUUUAUUUGAAUUUGUUUUGUAUUCUUAAAAUCA